rnacentral:rRNA from 1 species
UACGGAGGGUGCAAGCGUUAUCCGGAUUCACUGGGUUUAAAGGGUGCGUAGGCGGGCAGGUAAGUCCGUGGUGAAAUCCCCGAGCUUAACUCGGGAACUGCCAUGGAUACUAUUUGUCUUGAAUAUUGUGGAGGUAAGCGGAAUAUGUCAUGUAGCGGUGAAAUGCUUAGAUAUGACCCGGAACACCAAUUGCGAAGGCAGCAGGCUAAACAAAGAUUGACGCUGAGGCUCGAAAGCGUGGGGAUCAAACAGG